ensembl:snRNA U6 U6 spliceosomal RNA
GUGCUUGCUUUGGCAGUACAUAUAUUAAAAUUGGAACAAUACAAAGAUCAGCAUGGCCCCUGUGUAAGGAUGACAUGCAAAUGCCUGAAGCAGUCCUUAUUUUU